UGCAAGUCGAAUGGCAGCGCGGGGCAACCUGGCGGCGAGUGGCGAACGGGUGAGUAAUAUAUCGGAACAUACCCUAGAGUGGGGGAUAACGUAGCGAAAGUUACGCUAAUACCGCAUACGCACUAAGGUGGAAAGUGGGGGAUCGCAAGACCUCAUGCUCAUGGAGUGGCCGAUAUCUGAUUAGCUAGUUGGUGAGGUAAAGGCUCACCAAGGCGACGAUCAGUAGCUGGUCUGAGAGGACGACCAGCCACACUGGAACUGAGACACGGUCCAGACUCCUACGGGAGGCAGCAGUGGGGAAUUUUGGACAAUGGGGGCAACCCUGAUCCAGCAAUGCCGCGUGAGUGAAGAAGGCCUUCGGGUUGUAAAGCUCUUUUGUCAGGGAAGAAACGGUGGUCUCUAAUAUAGACUGCUAAUGACGGUACCUGAAGAAUAAGCACCGGCUAACUACGUGCCAGCAGCCGCGGUAAUACGUAGGGUGCAAGCGUUAAUCGGAAUUACUGGGCGUAAAGCGUGCGCAGGCGGUUAUAUAAGUCAGAUGUGAAAUCCCCGGGCUCAACCUGGGAACUGCAUUUGAGACUGUAUGGCUAGAGUGUGUCAGAGGGGGGUAGAAUUCCACGUGUAGCAGUGAAAUGCGUAGAUAUGUGGAGGAAUACCGAUGGCGAAGGCAGCCCCCUGGGAUAACACUGACGCUCAUGCACGAAAGCGUGGGGAGCAAACAGGAUUAGAUACCCUGGUAGUCCACGCCCUAAACGAUGUCUACUAGUUGUCGGGUCUUAAUUGACUUGGUAACGCAGCUAACGCGUGAAGUAG
rnacentral:rRNA from 1 species